UAAAGUUGAAUAUGCUUACCGUAGACAGUAGGUGCCAAUAGGCUUAAUUUCCUACCGAGGUGUUGUGAUAGAACGUCAGCAGUGAUUGGACGAAAGUCCUUGCAAAUGAUGAUUCAUCAGGCCUUCGUAGAUUCUGCGGAGGCUUUUUACUUGCCUAA
rfam:Paenibacillus antarcticus strain CECT 5836 PBAT23, whole genome shotgun sequence.